GCCCCAUUCCACUUAUAUGGGGUGCAACCUGCUCAAUGGCUGUAAAUAAAUAAACUAAUAACAGUUAAAUAGCCGCGGUAACUCUGACCGUGAUAAAGUAGCAUAAUCACUUGUCAUUUAAUUAAUGACUGGAAUGAAUGGUUUAACAAACCCUACUCUGUCUCAAUAAGAAAUUUUAUAAAAUUGAAAUUGUAGUGAAGAUGCUACAUAAAAAUUGUAAGACGAAAAGACCCUAUCGAGCUUUACUGAAUACUUAUAGUAUCACAAUUUGCAAAUAUACAAAAAUCUAUAGUAUGUAAGUAAGACAGUUUGGUUGGGGCGACCACCCUUAAAAAAGUAACAAGGGAAAUCUAAAAGUUAUAUAAUUAUGAUAUAUAACCUAACUGUAUAACAACUAUUAACACAGAUAUCAAGUGAUAGGACAUACUGACCCUUUGUAAUUUAUUUAAAAUACAAAGUCCUUGGAAAAAGUUACCGUAGGGAUAACAGGGUAAUAUUUUCAAAGAGUUCACAUCGAUGAAAAUGUUUGCCACCUCGAUGUUGAAUUGUGAUAUCCUAGAGGUGUAGCAGCUUCUAAGGGUUG
rnacentral:rRNA from 1 species